rnacentral:lncRNA from 1 species
GUGCCGUGAUAAAUUACUCUAAAUGUUGAUCGACGAGAACCCUAAUUAUUAAAAAACAAUAUUGAAAUGCAUGAUGCUUUUUUCGCUUCUUCACCAAACAAUUCUAUUCUACAGCAAGAAUUAAUCGAAAUUUAGUAGUUGCAGUUAAGUUAAUUGGAAGAAAGAAAGAAAAAUGAAGACGGAAUCCAUUAAUACCUGCACUUAUAAAUGGAUCAAUGGUGCAAUGGAUUUGGACCAGUGGGAACCAAUCUUGCGUUCACACCAUACAAUGCAGUGGUAUCAUUAGAAGUAGAAGCAGAAGCAUUUUCUUCCGGGUUCCAAAAAUUGACUGUGUUGUUGGUACUACUAAUUAUGAGCAUCUUCCGACGACCACUCCCGUUAAUUCGUCGUCGACUCGAUUGGAAAAGAGCAGCGAUCCUUUUUCUACCCGUCCUUAAAUGGUGGAAUCCUUGCAUAAGUAGAAUAAGACCAAGAAUCCAGAUGAGAAUGAGAAGACCCAUCUCAAGCUUAGACCUUCUCAUGACUGUAAACAAGUAGUAACUGUACGAAGUAAAGAAGAACGAUGUGGUCUGAAGUUUUGAGGGUUUUUAGUGUCGUAGACCUAAAGGAUCAGAAAAGAUUUAUGAUGGGUGCAGGCUGCCGGCGUGGGUGUUUGAGAAAAGAAGACAGCAAGUUGGUUUAUAUAUCGUUACCGGUAAUAUUGUUACCGGGUACAUAGGCCGGUACCUAGCUACCUAAAUAUUGUUUGGUUCUUUACUUCUUUUCAUGCCCGGAACGAGGAAUUAUAGGACAAUGCAUGACGCGUCCAUGGAUACACCCGCCCACUGCUACCCACUCUGCUCUCUUUGCUCAUCUUCUCAGACCUCACUUAACGCUCAAGCUAGGAAUUCAACAACAAGAACAAGGUAGAUCUACACCGGUAAAAUAAUCAUAAUCAUAAUGGUGCAGUGAAUUCCCUCCCUGUCGACCUGGAACCUGUCUCGUAAUAAAAAUGAUUAUGUUUCGGAUCCGGAUCUGGAUCCAUUUCAUUAUUAUUUUUUACUUUUUAUGGACGUAGUGUAUUGCAGAAGUGAGGAUGUGGUUGUAAUUUAUGGAAUCAUCAAUGUCUUAGUACGCAAUUGAGUGGCUCUUUAAUGCCAGAAUUAGGCUUGUGUAUCGAAUCAGAUUCGACACUCGUACAUGUAAUCCGAAAAUUCGAA